CAAGUCGAGUGCGCGCCUGUAGCAAUACAGGUGGCGCACGGCGCGCGGGUGCGUAACACGUGGGCAAUCUGCCCUCGGAUGGGGGAUAACUCGCCGAAAGGCGAGCUAAUACCGCAUGACAUUCCGAAGACUCCGGUCUUUGGACUCAAAGGCCGCAAGGCCGUCUGAGGAGGAGCCCGCGCCCGAUUAGCUAGUUGGUGAGGUAACGGCUCACCAAGGCUUUGAUCGGUAGCCGGUCUGAGAGGAUGGCCGGCCACACUGGAACUGAGACACGGUCCAGACUCCUACGGGAGGCAGCAGUGGGGAAUAUUGCGCAAUGGGCGAAAGCCUGACGCAGCGACGCCGCGUGGGGGAUGAAGCUUCUCGGAGUGUAAACCCCUUUCGACCCGGACGAAUGACCCGCAAGGGUUUGACGGUACGGGUAUAAGAAGCCCCGGCUAACUACGUGCCAGCAGCCGCGGUAAUACGUAGGGGGCCAGCGUUGCUCGGAAUUACUGGGCGUAAAGGGUUCGUAGGUGGUGCGGCAAGUUGGAAGUGAAAUCUCUGGGCUUAACCCAGAGGCUGCUUUCAAAACUGCCGUGCUCGAGUGCGAGAGAGGCCAGUGGAAUUGCAGGUGUAGCGGUGAAAUGCGUAGAUAUCUGCAGGAACACCCGUGGCGAAGGCGGCUGGCUGGAUCGCAACUGACACUGAGGAACGAAAGCUAGGGGAGCAAACAGGAUUAGAUACCCUGGUAGUCCUAGCCCUAAACCAUCAGAACUUGGGGUGGCCCGCGUAGGCGGGUCGUCCCGUAGCUAACGCGUUAAGUUCUGCGCCUGGGGAGUACGGUCGCAAGACUGAAACUCAAAGGGAAUUGACGGGGGCCC
rnacentral:rRNA from 1 species